GACGAACGCUGGCGGCGUGCUUAACACAUGCAAGUCGAACGGAGUGGCGACCGGGUGAGUAACACGUGGGUGACCUGACCUGCACUUCGGGAUAAGCCUGGGAAACUGGGUCUAAUACCGGAUAGUGUGGUAUGGGCCCGCGGCCUCUCAGCUUGUUGGGGGGGUAAGGGCCUAACAAGGCGGCGGCGGGUGGCCGGCCUGGGAGGGUGGACGGCCACAUUGGGACUGAGAAACGGCCCAGACUCCUACGGGGGGCAGCAGUGGAGAAUAUUGCACAAUGGGCGGAAGCCUGAUGCAGCGACGCCGCGUGGGGGAUGUCGGCCUUCGGGUUGUAAACUCCUUUCACCAUCGACGCGGUAGAUGGAGAAGAAGCACCGGCUAACUACGUGCCAGCCGCCGCGGUAAUUC
rnacentral:rRNA from 1 species